AUUGAACGCUGGCGGCAGGCCUAACACAUGCAAGUCGAGCGAGCGGCGAACGGGUGAGUAAUGUCUGGGAAACUGCCUGAUGGGGGGGGAUAACUACUGGAAACGGUAGCUAAUACCGCAUACCAUCAGAUUGGCCCAGAUGGGAUUAGCUAGUAGGUUGGGUAACGGCUCACCUAGGCGCCGAUCCCUAGCUGGUCUGAGGGGAUGACCAGCAACAUGGGAACUGAGACACGGUCCAGACUCCUACGGGAGGCAGCAGUGGGGAAUAUUGGACAAUGGGCGAAAGCCUGACGCAGCCAUGCCGCGUGUGUGAAGAAGGCCUUCGGGUGGUAAAGCACGUUCAGCGGGGAGGCGUUACCCGCAGAAGAAGCACCGGCUAACUCCGUGCCAGCAGCCGCGGUAAUUC
rnacentral:rRNA from 1 species